AUCUUCCACAAUGGGCGAAAGCCUGAUGGAGCGACGCCGCGUGAGGGAUGAAGGUCUUUGGAUCGUAAACCUCUAAAAGUGGGACGAUAAUGACGGUACCACUUGAAAAGCACCGGCUAACUCCGUGCCAGCAGCCGCGGUAAUACGGAGGGUGCUAGCGUUAUCCGGAAUCACUGGGCGUAAAGGACGCGUAGGCGGUUUGUUAAGUCCGAUGUUAAAGACUGGGGCUCAACCCCAGCACUGCGUUGGAUACUGGCAGACUGGACGGUUGGAGAGGCGAGUGGAAUUACCAGUGUAGCGGUGGAAUGCGUAGAUACUGGUAGGAACACCCAUUGCGAAGGCAGCUCGCUGGACAACACGUGACGCUGAGGCGCGAAAGUGUGGGGAGCAAACCGGA
rnacentral:rRNA from 1 species